UACGUAGGGCGCAAGCGUUGUCCGGAAUUAUUGGGCGUAAAGAGCUCGUAGGCGGCUUGUCACGUCGGGUGUGAAAGCCCGGGGCUUAACCCCGGGUCUGCAUUCGAUACGGGCUGGCUGGAGUUCGGUAGGGGAGAUCGGAAUUCCUGGUGUAGCGGUGAAAUGCGCAGAUAUCAGGAGGAACACCGGUGGCGAAGGCGGAUCUCUGGGCCGAUACUGACGCUGAGGAGCGAAAGCGUGGGGAGCGAACAGG
rnacentral:rRNA from 1 species